GUUUCUCCGGGCUCUGGCUGGUGCCCUCUGUACGUACCCCCGGGUGCCGACUCCACCCCACGCCGGUGCCCGCCCGCUUCCCCCGCGUCCUCCACUACGGUCAGGCCCGGCGCCUCCUCCCCACCCCCUCGGCCGGUCCUAGGGAGGGGAAGGGGGCGGGCAGCGCAGGGGGUGUGACAGCUCCCUCGCGGACUAGUGCCAGCUGCAGCCUCGCUUCAGCGCCCUGUGCCAGCUGGCUCUUUCGUCUGGGACGAAGGCGGAGGCUCCGGGCUCCUAGUCGCUGACCGGGGUGUGGGGGGUACUCCCCCCACACCCUCUACCCUCUACUCACCCAAGACGAGCCUCUGCACCCAGUCUUGCAUUUUGCUGUCCUCGGAGCCGGUUCCAGUCGGGAACUGGCCCUGUUCACUGUCCCCCGGACUUGCGCCGGCACCCGGCACCCGUCCAGGAUCCCCCUUUGGAGCUGACUGGUGAUCCCCCAGUGUCGGCUAGAGCCUGCAAGGCUGUGCGAGCUUGAGAAGGAACAUGAAGGUGGGCUUGCCAGGUGAAAGCCGCUGGCAGGUGGGCCCGGCUGUGGAGGAUAGCCCAGCUCUGGGAGCACCGCAGGUGGGGGGCCUCCCCGACUUGGUGCCGGAGGGGACACUGCUCAACAUGGUGCUGAAGAGGAUGCACCGGCCCAGAAGCUGCUCCUACCAGCUGCUGCUUGAGCACCGGCGCCCAAGCCGCAUCCAGGGGCUUCGCUGGACGCCACUCACCAAUAGUGAGGAGUCCCUGGAUUUCAGUGUGAACCUGGAGCAGGCUUCUACCGAGCGGGUGCUCAGGGCUGGGAAGCACCUGCACCGACAUCUCCUGGCCACCUGCCCGAGCCUCAUCCGUGACCGAAAGUAUCAUCUCAGGCUCUACCGACAGUGCUGCUCUGGUCGAGAGCUGGUGGACUGGGUGUUGGCCCUGGGCCUUGGGGUCCACUCUCGGAGCCAGGCUGUGGGCAUCUGCCAGGUGCUGCUGGAUGAGGGUGCCCUCUGCCAUGUGAAACACGACUGGACCUUCCAGGACCGAGAUGCCCAGUUUUACCGGUUCCCUGGGCCAGAGCCGGAGCCUGUGGGAGCUCAUGAGAUGGAGGAGGAGUUGGUAGAGGCAAUGACCCUGCUGUCCCAGAGGGGGCCUGAUGCCCUGCUCACUGUGGCACUUCGAAAGCCCCCAGGUCAGCGCACGGAUGAGGAGUUGGACCUCAUCUUUGAGGAGCUGCUGCACAUCAAGGCUGUGGCCCACCUCUCCAACUCGGUGAAGCGGGAAUUGGCAGCAGUUCUGCUCUUUGAACCACACAGCAAGGCGGGGACUGUGUUGUUCAGCCAGGGUGACAAGGGCACCUCGUGGUACAUUAUCUGGAAGGGGUCUGUCAAUGUGGUGACCCAUGGCAAGGGGCUGGUGACCACACUGCAUGAGGGAGAUGACUUUGGACAGCUGGCUCUGGUGAAUGAUGCACCCCGGGCGGCCACCAUCAUCCUGAGAGAAGAUAACUGUCACUUCCUGCGUGUGGACAAGCAAGACUUCAACCGCAUUGUCAAGGAUGUGGAAGCGAAGACCAUGAGGCUGGAAGAACAUGGCAAAGUAGUGUUGGUGCUGGAGAGAACCUCCCAGGGCACUGGCCCUUCUCGCCCCCCGACCCCUGGCAGGAACCGGUAUACAGUGAUGUCUGGCACCCCAGAGAAGAUCCUAGAACUUCUCUUGGAAGCCAUGCGACCGGAUUCCAGUGCUCAUGACCCAACAGAGAUGUUCCUCAGUGACUUCCUCCUGACCCACAGUGUCUUCAUGCCCAGCGCCCAGCUCUGUGCUGCCCUCCUGCACCACUUCCAUGUGGAGCCAGCCGAGCCUGCAGGAGGCAACGAGCAGGAGCGCAGCACCUACGUCUGUAAUAAGAGGCAGCAGAUUCUGCGUCUGGUCAGCCAAUGGGUGGCUCUCUAUGGCCCCAUGCUCCACACAGACCCCGUGGCCACCAGCUUCCUCCAGAAACUCUCAGACCUGGUGAGCAGGGAUGCCCGACUUAGCAACCUGCUGAGGGAGCAGUGGCCAGAGAGGCGGCGACACCACAGGUUGGAAAAUGGUUGUGGGAAUGCUUCUCCUCUGAUGAAGGCCCGGAAUGUGCCUGUUUGGCUCCCCAGCCAGGACGAGCCACUCCCCAGUAGCAACUGUGCCAUUCGAGUUGGGGACAAAGUCCCCUAUGACAUUUGCCGGCCGGACCACUCCGUGCUGACCCUGCAGCUACCUGUGACAGCCUCCGUGAGAGAGGUGCUGGCAGCGUUGGCCCAGAAGGACGGCUGGACCAAGGGGCAGGUGCUGGUGAAGGUCAAUUCUGCAGGUGAUGCCGUUGGCCUGCAGCCAGAUGCCCGUGGUGUGGCCACAUCCCUGGGGCUCAACGAGCGGCUCUUUGUUGUCAACCCACAGGAAGUGCAUGAGCUGACCCCACACCCGGAGCAGCUGGGGCCCACUGUGGGCUCUGCUGAGGGGCUGGACACAGUGAGCGCCAAGGACCUGGCAGGCCAGCUGACAGACCACGACUGGAACCUCUUCAACAGUAUUCACCAGGUGGAGCUGAUCCACUACGUACUGGGCCCCCAGCACCUGCGGGAUGUCACUACUGCCAACCUGGAGCGCUUCAUGCGCCGCUUCAAUGAGCUGCAGUACUGGGUGGCCACGGAGCUCUGUCUGUGCCCUGUGCCUGGCCUGCGGGCCCAGCUGCUCAGGAAGUUUAUCAAGCUGGCGGCUCACCUCAAGGAGCAAAAGAAUCUCAAUUCCUUCUUUGCCAUCAUGUUUGGCCUCAGCAACUCAGCCAUCAGUCGCCUGGCCCACACUUGGGAGCGACUGCCCCACAAAGUCCGGAAGUUAUACUCGGCCCUGGAGAGGCUGCUGGACCCCUCGUGGAACCACCGAGUGUAUCGACUGGCCCUCACCAAGCUCUCCCCUCCUGUCAUCCCUUUCAUGCCCCUUCUCCUCAAAGACAUGACCUUCAUCCACGAGGGAAACCACACACUAGUGGAGAAUCUCAUCAACUUUGAGAAGAUGCGAAUGAUGGCCAGAGCCGCAAGGAUGCUACACCACUGCCGAAGUCACAGCACCGUGCCUCUCUCACCACUCAGAAGCCGAGUGUCCCACUUCCACGAGGACAGCCAGGCAUCGAGGAUUUCCACGUGUGAGGAAGCAGCUGGAGCGUUGAAACAGCUUGCUGAAGGACAGUGUGGUAGUGAUGGAGCUGGACCCGAGCUCUCGACUCCAGCCUGCAUCUGUUUGAUUGGACCUUAGUUGCAUCAAGUGGGGUUAAUCAUGACCCAUGGUUCAGACAACAGUGCCUUCCUUGCCCCGUUUUAUGUGUGCUUGUAUUCUGAUAAUACGCUCAAUACCACUGGACCAGUCAAGUACAAGAACAUCGGCAGUGACUUAUAUUCCCCCAUCCACUUGCCUCUCCCUCCUCAAGGCUCGGAGCAGUCCCUGAGCACCCGGAGUCCAGCCAGCACCUGGGCUUAUGUCCAGCAGCUGAAGGUCAUCGACAACCAGCGUGAACUCUCCCGCCUCUCCCGGGAGCUGGAGCCAUGAGGAGGAGCUGAGGCUGAAGCAGGCACUUCCUUCGGGGAAAGACAGAGCAGACCUGGGCCAAGAGGCCCGCAGGCUGGCCACAGCUGGGCAGGGCUCUUCGUGGAGUGACUCGAGGCCCUGGAGCGGGCAGCAUGGAGGCAGCUGUCCCCAUGAUGACUGGUGGCUAAGGAGGACCUCAGAGUGGAUCUGUGCCGGGGCCCAAGGCUGAGGAAUGGGGGACGCGAGACCCUGGGAGUGAGUGGGAGAGCCGGGCAGAGACAGGACUCUGUUCAGUAGAGAGCUCUCCACACCAGGCCUUUCCAGCUUCUGUCCUCGUGGCCCUGUUGUCCAGCCAUCUCCAGGCCCUGGCGGUUGUUUUCACAGUGAACUGAAAGAGACUGCAUAUGUAUGGCAUGUGUGUGGCGGGUUGUUGCGUGGGGGUGGGGAGUCCUGCUUUUCUUUCCACAGCCUCUGAGAUAAACAGCUGGGUGUGGGCAGGACUGUUUGGCUGGGAGUGGUGGUCCCUGAGGAGCCUUAUUGUUCCCAUAAAUUAACAAAGAUAUGUGUGUUCUAAAGCCAGCUGUGGGGGUGUGGCAGAGAAGGCCAGACCGGGCCCCCUGGGAAGGAGCUGUGAAGAGCGUGCUCCCAGAGCAGCUGACAGCAGCCCCACUGCCCCUGCAAGGUCUCUGGGACCACAGCAGGGCUCCAGAAUGGCUGGCUGCUCCCCACAUGUGCCUCCCAGGCCCGGAGGCCCUGUCUCAGCCAAUCCCGGGAAACUACCAGUUCUCCAUGGUAGAGACUGCUACAGUCCAGAUGCAACUAGCAUCUUCUGCCCUCUUCCUCCUAACUCCAAUCCCUGUUCCUCUGCCCUUGACCACAUCUUGGUGGCCAGGGAUAGAGAAGAUGCUGGGCAAAGGCUCCCAAAGACAUCUGAUACCUUCUGAGAACUAACAGUCUUCUGGAAAUCAGGAUUUAUCAUCAGUGAUGAGAAGGGUCACACAAGUUCUGUUUGGUUAAGUCCUAUCUUCCCUCUCCUGCAGCACAUCCCUGUGAACCUGCCUGUGGGGCAGAACUCCUGCCAGGAAGCCCCAGGCAAGGACCCCACCCUCUGCCCUGAAGCUGGCAGCGGGAGACACACUGUCAGGCCUGAGAGGCCCAGGCCUCCAGGAUGACCUGAGUAGGCUUCCCAGGCAGCGGGCCCACAGCAACAGGAGAGGAGGCGCUGGUGUGGCCCCCAAACCUGCUCUGCAGAUCCAGCAACCCAGGCUCAGGCUGGACACCCUGACACACCCUGCCUCCUCCUGACCUCCCCAUUGCCAGACCCCUUUCAGCCCUGAGGUCAUGGAUGCACAUGCCAGCUGCUCCCAGAAAGGAUCAGAGUCCUGACAAGGAGGCAGCACAGCUGGGAUCAUACCUUGGAUUUCUAAAGAAUGUAAAUCAAUGAACAGUUCUCCGCCUUCACUUCUCCAUUUGCAAGAUGGCUGUGAUGAUUGUCAUCUGUCUGUUAAUGAUGCACAAGUAAAACUGUAGCUCCUGCCUCUGCGGCAGAAAUGACUGUGGAGGGCAGUCCCACAGAGGGGCAGCGUCACCUUGGCUGAAGUCCAAGGUAGCUUCUGAGGUGGAGCCAGGGCAUGGCUAACCUAGCCGGUUCCCUUGCCUGAAGGCAGGGAUGGAUGCUGACAGGGUACCAAAGCUUCCUGAGCUGAGCAAUCCUGACUCCAGGACCAAGCACCGGUGAGUCAGGAGGACCAGGAGCCUUCUUCUCUUCUGAGCCCAUUGUCUGUCCAUGUUUCAGCCAAACCCACGCCAGUCACCCAGCCAUGGCUCUUCGCCAUCUUCUCAGACUCCAGGGUGAGACCAGCCUGGCACCUGAUGCUACAGCAGUCCAAACAUGUGACAGGCUUUUGUCUUUCCCCAGUUUCUUUAGUCACACCUAUGUCCUGACAGAAUUUCUGGGCCACACAUGGGUCUUCCUGCCACCUUGAACAACCCUGCAACCUCCGAGCUGCCUGUGUCUCAGGC